ensembl:lncRNA
CCCAAACACACUGCCCGGGCAACGAAGGAGUGGUUUCGUAAUAAGCAUUUCAAGGUCCUGGAGUGGCCUAGCCAGUCUCCAGAUCUCAACCCCAUAGAAAAUCUUUGGAGGGAGUUGAAAGCCUGGGUUGCCCAGCAACAGCCCCAAAACAUCACUGCUCUAGAGGAGAUCUGCAUGGAGGAAUGGGCCAAAAUACCAGCAACAGUGUGUGAAAACCUUGUGAAGACUUACAGAAAACGUUUGACCUCUGUCAUUGCCAACAAAGGGUAUAUAACAAAGUAUUGAGAAAACCUUUUGUUAUUGACCAAAUACUUAAUUUCCAUCAUAAUUUGCAAAUAAAUUUAUCAAAAAUCCUACGUGAUUUUCUGGAUUUUUUUUUUCUCAUUUUGUCUGUCAUAGUUGAAGUGUACCUAUGAUGAAAAUUACAGGCCUCUCUCAUCUUUUUAAGUGGGAGAACUUGCACAAUUAGUGGCUGACUAAAUGUAUUUUCAACGUUGAUUCCACAUCCCAAUACUUCGAAGGAACGUUAAUUCAACCAGUGUGUGCCCAUGCAGUGAGUGGAUCAGUUGUAAGAGCUAGGAAUGUAUUUGUAUUUGCUAGACAAUAACGUAUUCGAUCAACAAUACAAAUCUGCUUAAAUGUUAGAAAAACUUCACCCACUUUCAAGAUGUUCUUUCCUACUUUGUUAUACAAGACAACCCGUUGUAGAAUAAAUGGCCUGAUAUCUAUUGUUUCUUAUGUGCAUGACUGUGCAUGAACUUGGUGAUUUGGCAUCUGAUGUUUUCUAGUGUUGAUAUCUACUGUGAUACAAAGUGUUUGUCAGUUCCAGGAAAUGUAUCAGGUUCUUUUUAAAGGUUCCACCCUCUCACUUAUUUCCACUGUUAUCAAAUAAAUAUCAAACGGCUCAGUGAAAGUGGCGAGGGCGGGUCCUCCUGAGAUGUAGAGCCAGUGGGUGAGUAGGAGGAAUAGAGCUCUCAUUUGCUUGGCCUCCACAACUGUCAAGUGAUAUUUGAUUGCCACGUCUUGAGGUUAGUCACAACCACGGUGUGUCCUUUAUUGAAAGGGGGAGAUCAAGCUGAUCCUAACUGUUAUAGGCCAAUUUCUAUUUUGCCCUGUUUAUCAAAAGUGUUGAUAGUCUUAUACUCAGCUGGCCCCUCCCAAGAUGUUGUGUUAAUCGCUCUACAACAAAGCUUUCUUAGUGUCCAACAAGCUUUCUCUGCCCUUAACAGUGCUCCGAACACCUCCAAAAUAAAGGUAAUGUGGUUUGGUACAAUGCCCCUCUCCCCACCGGUGUGAUUACUACCACUGAGGGUUUAGAGCUUGAGGUAGUCACCUCAUACAAGUACUUGGGAGUAUGGCUAGACGGUACAAUGUCCUUCUCUCAACACAUCAAAGCUGCAGGCUAAAGUUAAAUCUAGACUUGGUUUCCUCUAUCGUAAUCACUCCUCUUUCACCUCAGCUGCAAAAAUAACCCUGAUUUUAAAUGACCAUCCUACCCAUACUAGAUUACGGAGACGUAAUUUAUAGAUCGCCAGGUGAGGGUGCUCAAGUGGCUAGAUGUUCUUUACCAUUCGGCCAUCAGAUUUGUCACCAAUUCUCCUUGUAGGACACAUCACUGCACUCUAUACUCAUGUAAACUGGUCAUCUCUGUAUACCCGUCGCAAGACCCACUGGUUUCUGCUUAUUUAUAAAACCCUCUUAGGCCUCACUCCCACCUAUCUGAGAUAUCUACUGCAGCCCUCAUCCUCCACAUACAACACCCGUUCUGCCAGUCACAUUUUGUUAAAGGUCCCCAAAGCACACACAUCCCUGGGUCGCUCCUCUUUUCAGUUUGCUGAAGCUAGCGACUGGAACGAGCUGCAACAAACACUCAAACUUGACAGUUUUAUCUCCAUCUCUUCAUUCAAAGACUCAAUCAUGGACACUCUUACUGACAGUUGUGGCUGCUUCGUGUGAUGUAUUGUUGUCUCUACCUUCUUGCCUUUGGUGUUGUCUGUGCCCAAUAAUGUUUGUGCUGCUACCAUGUUGUUGUCAUGUGGUGUUGCUACCAUGAUGUAACAGUAUAGACUUUAUGUCAGUCCCCUCGCCCCGAUCUGGGCGCGACCAGGAACGCUCUGCACACGUCAACAGUCACCCUCAAAGCUUCAUUACCCAUCGCUCCACAAAAGCCGCGGCCCUUGCAGAUCAAGGGGAACCACUGCUUCAAGGGCUCAGAGCAAGUGACAUCACCGAUUGAAACACCACUAGCGCACACCACCGCUAACUAGCUAUCCAUUUCACAUCGGCUACACUGUGUUGUCAUGUGUUGCUGCCAUGCUAUGUUGUUGUCUUAGGUCUCUCUUUAUGUAGUGUUGUGGUUUCUCUCUUGUGAUGUUGGUUUUGUCCUAUAUUUGUUUUAUUAGAUAUUUUUUGUAGGCUGGCAUUGUAAAUAAGAAUUUGUUCUUAACUGACUUGCCUAGUUAAAUAAAGGUUAAAUUACUCGUUCAUACGCCUACAGCUCAAUGUGCUCAAGCCAACAAUAUGAGUCAUGUGAGGAUCAUGUUGUAGCCUGUUGUCGAUGGUGUCACACGUCAUGAUUACCUGCUGUGUUCCUUCUCCAUUUCACCAGUGUGUGGAAGAAAAACCAUAGCUUUAAAGGAACUGAAAGCACAAAUGUUUUUUUUCUUUCUCCAAUGGUGUAGAUCUUACUCACUCACUGUGUAUUUACAGUACCUGAUUGAAAGUACACCAAGAGGAUAGACCAGUAAUCAACCUGGGAGGCAGAAACCUAUGUUUAGAAAAUGUACUAAACCUUUAUCUUUGUAAAAACCAAACACUUGAAACUGCACUAAAAAGCAGUCAUUCAUUCCCUUUAUAGCAUAUCCAUCAAAAUAAACCAAAUCCACUUGCUCUGUAAAAUGAACCCUCCACUUAUUUGAUUUAGAUUAGAUUUGUUAGGAUCCCCAAAAGCCAAAGCCAAUGGCAACAGCUAGUCUUACUGGGGUCCGACACAUAACGAAAAAUACAUUACAGACAAAUAACUUAUCCACUUAUUCUCAGUACAUGCAGGUAGAUAAGGAAGUGUAAGACACUUUCCUUAGAAUCUCUACCAGUUUAACUGCUGUAUGUGGGAACUGUUCCUGAGAAAACCGCUGUCAUGCAUGGCCUACGAGGAUGCCUCACCCCAACCAGAAUGUUUUAUUAUUUUUUUAAUACAUAUUCAUGAAAAUAUUCUGUAAAUAUAUCAAUCAUCAAAUGUCUUGUUUUGUCAUUAAGUAUCUCAAGCAUCCACAUUAAGAGGUAACUAACCUACUGUAUUGUGUCACAACGCAAUUUUAAUCAGCCGAAUAAGGUUUACUGUUCAUUGAGCAUUAUGCUGUGCUGUAAGCAUGCAUGCAAAAUAGUUUAACUGUAGCUUGGGUGACCAUCAUCUGUUGUCCACCCAACUCCUUUGUAACAUGAUACAAUAUUGUCCAAAUACAUGUAUUUAAUAUUUGUCAUACGUUUUAAGUCUCAUGCAAAUAUGUAGCCUGGGUGUUUUUGCAUAUUUAUGUGUACUGAAUAAAUAUAAUGUCCUUGAUUCUAAACCUG